UACGGGAGGCAGCAGUGGGGAAUAUUGCACAAUGGGCGGAAGCCUGAUGCAGCAACGCCGCGUGCGGGAUGACGGCCUUCGGGUUGUAAACCGCUUUCGCCUGUGACGAAGCGUGAGUGACGGUAAUGGGUAAAGAAGCACCGGCUAACUACGUGCCAGCAGCCGCGGUGAUACGUAGGGUGCGAGCGUUGUCCGGAUUUAUUGGGCGUAAAGGGCUCGUAGGUGGUUGAUCGCGUCGGAAGUGUAAUCUUGGGUCUUAACCCUGAGCGUGCUUUCGAUACGGGUUGACUUGAGGAAGGUAGGGGAGAAUGGAAUUCCUGGUGGAGCGGUGGAAUGCGCAGAUAUCAGGAGGAACACCAGUGGCGAAGGCGGUUCUCUGGGCCUUUCCUGACGCUGAGGAGCGAAAGCGUGGGGAGCGAACAGGAUUAGAUACCCUGGUAGUCCACGCUGUAAACGAUGCAUACUAGGUGUUGGUCUUUCGGGGCCAGUGCUGCAGUUAACGCAUUAAGUAUGCCACCUGGGGAGUACGUCGGCAACGAUGAAACUCAAAGGAAUUGACGGGGGUCCGCACAAGCGGUGGAGCAUGUGGUUUAAUUCGAUGAUACGCGAGGAACCUUACCUGGGCUUAAAUGUAGAUUGACAGAUUGGGAAACCAGUCCUUCUUCGGACAAUUUACAAGGUGCUGCAUGGUUGUCGUCAGCUCGUGCCGUGAGGUGUCGGGUUAAGUCCCAUAACGAGCGCAACCCCUAUUCUUAGUUGCCAGCGGUUCGGCCGGGGACUCUAAGAAAACUGCCCGCGCAAGCGGUGAGGAAGGUGGGGAUGACGUCAAAUCAUCACGGCCCUUACGUCCAGGGCUACACACGUGCUACAAUGGUGCGCACAGAGGGCUGCAAACCCGCGAGGGGGAGCCAAUCUCACAAAACGCAUCGUAGUCCGGAUCGCAGUCUGCAACUCGACUGCGUGAAGUCGGAAUCGCUAGUAAUCGUGAAUCAGAAUGUCGCGGUGAAUACGUUCCCGGGCCUUGUACACACCGCCCGUCAAGCCAUGGAAGCUGGGGGUGCCUGAAGUCGGUAACCGCAAGGAGCUGCCUAGGGUAAAACUAGUGACUGGGGCUAAGUCGUAACAAGGUAGCCGUACCGG
rnacentral:rRNA from 1 species